rnacentral:rRNA from 1 species
GAGGCGUGGCUGUCCGGAGCUAACGCGUUAAGUCGACCGCCUGGGGAGUACGGCCGCAAGGUUAAAACUCAAAUGAAUUGACGGGGGCCCGCACAAGCGGUGGAGCAUGUGGUUUAAUUCGAUGCAACGCGAAGAACCUUACCUACUCUUGACAUCCAGAGAACUUAGCAGAGAUGCUUUGGUGCCUUCGGGAACUCUGAGACAGGUGCUGCAUGGCUGUCGUCAGCUCGUGUUGUGAAAUGUUGGGUUAAGUCCCGCAACGAGCGCAACCCUUAUCCUUUGUUGCCAGCGGUCCGGCCGGGAACUCAAAGGAGACUGCCAGUGAUAAACUGGAGGAAGGUGGGGAUGACGUCAAGUCAUCAUGGCCCUUACGAGUAGGGCUACACACGUGCUACAAUGGCGUAUACAAAGAGAAGCGACCUCGCGAGAGCAAGCGGACCUCAUAAAGUACGUCGUAGUCCGGAUUGGAGUCUGCAACUCGACUCCAUGAAGUCGGAAUCGCUAGUAAUCGUAGAUCAGAAUGCUACGGUGAAUACGUU